rnacentral:rRNA from 1 species
UUUUUACAAUGGAGAGUUUGAUCCUGGCUCAGGAUGAACGCUAGCGGCAGGCCUAACACAUGCAAGUCGAGGGGCAGCACGAUUGAAGCUUGCUUCAAUUGGUGGCGACCGGCGCACGGGUGCGUAACGCGUAUGUAACCUACCUUAUACAGGGGCAUAACACUGAGAAAUUGGUACUAAUUCCCCAUAACACUUUGAGAGGCAUCUUUUGAAGUUAAAAGUUCCGGCGG